GAUGAAGAACGUAGCGAAAUGCGAUAAGUAAUGUGAAUUGCAGAAUUCAGUGAAUCAUCGAAUCUUUGAACGCACCUUGCGCCCUUUGGCUAUUCCGAAGGGCAUGCCUGUUUGAGUAUCGUGAACACCUCAAUUCUCAUGGUUUGCCAUGAUGAGCUUGGACUUUGGGGGUUUUGCUGGCCUUUGGUCGGCUCCUCUCAAACGGAUCAGCUUUCCAGUGUUUGGUGGCGUCACGGGUGUGAUAACUAUCUACGCCUGUGGUUUUCUGCCAGAUAACCUUCAGCGAUGGAGGUUCGCUGGGGCUCAUAAAUGUCUCUCUUCAGUGGAGACAGCUUUUUGGACGUUUGAUCUCAAAUCAGGUAGGACUACCCGCUGAACUUAAGCAUAUCAAUAAGCGGAGGA
rnacentral:misc_RNA from 1 species